rnacentral:lncRNA from 13 species
UCUCUCUCUCUCUCUCUCUCUCUCUCUCUCUCCCUCUCUCUCUCUCUCUCCUCUCUCUCACACAGAUCGAAGUGUUGAACAAAUACUUGUUUUUGACAUCCCAAGCCAAUGAUUUACCUCAUUAACCUCUCAGAGAAAGACUACUUCAGAAGAAAGAACAAAUGCGUUCUGACAAGGAUCAUCAAGGCUGGCUAUGGAGCCCUACAGUUGGAGUACUUCUUCACAGCUGGACCAGAUGAGGUCCGUGCGGGGACCAUCCGGGUAAGACCCUGCCCCCGCGGCCGGCCGCGCCGCAUACCGUUCCACCCUGCUGGCAUGCAGCCUGAUAUCAGCCACUUUCAACUUUGUCAUGGUCCAGCUUUAGCUAGUCAUUACAGACCAAGGAUAACUUCAAUUACUGUUGAGCUGCUGAACAGUGAAAGUGGGGGCUACUUUGAUUGAGGAGGGCAACAAUUGAUUUUGCCCAUUACUUCCUGAGAAUGUUUCCAUCCCGUGCAGAUCUGCCUGCCCUCCUCCUGCCGCGGGAGAUAAGGGGCCCUAGCAUUGUGCCUGCCUAAUCUGUGUGACGGGGGUUGUCUGUGCUGAAAUUGAUGUGGCUUUUUAUUCAACCGUUUGUGGGUCUUGCUGGGGGCUCCUCCUCUCUGUGUCUCAGUUUACUGAGCCCGCCGAGAGCCUGGGUGACACUGAAUCACAGGAGGAUUUACAUCGAUACAGAUGUUGGCUCGGCACACUGGUAUUGUGCAAAUGUUAGAAGGAUUAAGAGCAGUCAUAAUAAGGUUUUAACCUGUCAGGAGUUGCAUUCUGAUUCGCUAGUCGAUCUGUGUAAGGAACGUGAGCAGUUUUUUUUUUUUACAACUAACUAAACUGAAAGUAUGUAUGUUAUUAAGAAAACGUUUUUAGGUUGAUAAUAAACAGAACAUUUUUAUUUGGGUGACAUCAUAGUGGUUAAAUAUAUGAGCCACCUCCACCCAGCCAUGAGUGAUGUCCUCAGUGGGUUUAGGAAAGUAACAGAACUCCUCCAAGCAUUUCUCCUAUGGGCUUGUCUCCUUUGACAUAACUGAUUACGGCUAGCCUUGAUUGUGUGUGAGGCGUUUAGUCAGGUAAGCAUCAGUGAGUAGCUAUAUUAACCCAAUACAUCUUACAUUGUAAAAACGACACUGUAACAUGGUGCUGCUAAGCCCUUUAGCAUGCUUUAUUAGGCAGCCUCGAGGUGACCAUUAUCUAUCAGGCUGCUCUGCAUAGCUGUUAACUGCUAUGAUGUGUAUCUCUUGUAAUGCGCUAUAGGACAAAAUCAGCCCCUAAUCUAUUUUUCUCUACCUAGACAAACCUUGAUGCUGAUUAAUGGUAGUUAAACUUACAAGCACUCCGUCAAUGAGAUUGCAUAGGGAUGGUAAUGUAUUGGAGUCAUUAAAUGCACAUCAUUCUUUUGGCAUGAAAUAUGUUGACCCCAACCUGAUUAUAUACAUAAUUAAAAGUGCUCCGCAGUUUUGGAGCACAGUGCUACAGAGCCGAGAGAGGGAGAGGAGGUCGACAGGCACAAGUCAUAAUGAUGCCGCGCAGGGAUGUCACUUAUUUGGGUCAUUUGUCAUUUUCCCAGGCAUUAUUUCAAUGCAUAUAAAUUGCGUAUUUUAUCAGAGACCGUUGUGACUUCUGAUGCUAAAUGGGAUUUAAUGUAGGAAGAAUUUUAAAAAGUUGGGGGGGGGGGGGGGGGGG